rnacentral:rRNA from 1 species
UUUGAUCAUGGCUCAGAGUGAACGCUGGCGGUAGGCCUAACACAUGCAAGUCGAACGGCAGCACAGGAGAGCUUGCUCUCUGGGUGGCGAGUGGCGGACGGGUGAGGAAUACAUCGGAAUCUACUUUUUCGUGGGGGAUAACGUAGGGAAACUUACGCUAAUACCGCAUACGACCUACGGGUGAAAGCAGGGGAUCUUCGGACCUUGCGCGAUUGAAUGAGCCGAUGUCGGAUUAGCUAGUUGGCGGGGUAAAGGCCCACCAAGGCGACGAUCCGUAGCUGGUCUGAGAGGAUGAUCAGCCACACUGGAACUGAGACACGGUCCAGACUCCUACGGGAGGCAGCAGUGGGGAAUAUGG